GUUGUCCGGAUUUAUUGGGCGUAAAGCGCUCGCAGGUGGUUCGUCGCGUCGUGCGUGAAAGACCCCGGCUCAACUGGGGAGUGUCGUGCGAUACGGGCGAACUGGAGGCCAGUAGGGGGAUGCGGAAUUCCGGGUGUAGUGGUGGAAUGCGUAGAGAUCCGGAGGAACACCAGCGGCGAAGGCGGCAUCCUGGACUGGUCCUGACACUCAGGAGCGAAAGCGUGGGGAGCGAGCCGG
rnacentral:rRNA from 1 species